GCUAGAUGAAAGGGAAUGUUCAACUCUGUGACUUGAAUGCAGACAUCAAAAAGCAGUUUCUGAGAAUGCUUCUGUCUAGAUUUUAUAUGAAGAUAUUCCCGUUUCCAACGAAAUCUUCGAAGUUAUCCAAAUAUCCACUUGCAAAUUCUACAAAAAGAGUGUUUCCAAACUGCUGUAUCAAAAGAAAGGUACAGCUCUGUUAGUUGAGGACACACAUCACAAAUAAGUUUCUGAGAAUGCUUCUGUCUACUUUUUAUGGAAAGAUAUUUCCUUUUUCAACAUAGGCCAGAAAGCGCUCAAAAUGUCCACUUCCAGAUACUACAGAAAGAGUGUUUCAAACCUGCUUUAUGAAAGGGAAUGUUCAAACCUGUGACUUAAAAGCAAACAUCACAAAGAAGCUUCUGAGAAUGUUGCUGUCUACUUUUUAUAUAUAAUCCCGUUUCCAACGAAAUCCUCAAAGCCAUCCAAAUAUCCACUUGCAGAUUCCACAAAAAGAGCGUUUCAAAACUGAUCUAUAAAUAGAAAGGUUCAACUCUGUUAGUUGAGUACAUAUAUCCCAAAGAAGUUUCUUAGAAUGCUUCUGUCUAGUUUUUAUGGGAAGACAUUUCCUUUUUCACCAAAGGCGUCAAAGCGCUCCAAAUGUCCACUUCCAGAUACUACAAAAAGAGUGUUUCAAACCUGCUCUAAGAAAGGGAACGUUCAACUCUGAGACUUGAAUGCAGAUAUCACAAAGUCGUUUCCGAGAGUGCUUCUGUCUAGAUUUUAUAUGAAGAUAUUCCUGUUUCCAACGAUAUCUUUAAAGCAAUCAAAAUAUCAAAUUGCAGAUUCUACAAAAAUAGUGUAUCAAAGCUGCUCUGUAAAAAGAAAGGUUCCACUCUCUUAGCUGAGUACAUACAUCACAAACAUGUUUCUGAGAAUCCUUCUGUCUAGUUUUUAUGGGAAGAUAUUUCCAUUUUCACCAU
rnacentral:lncRNA from 1 species